AGUAGUUUGAUCCUGGCUCAGAACGAACGCUGGCGGCACGCCUAACACAUGCAAGUCGAACGGAAUUUAAGUCUUCGGAUUUAAAUUUAGUGGCGCACGGGUGCGUAACGCGUGGGAAUCUGCCCUUGGGUUCGGAAUAACAGUUAGAAAUGACUGCUAAUACCGGAUGAUGUCUUCGGACCAAAGAUUUAUCGCCCAGGGAUGAGCCCGCGUAGGAUUAGGUAGUUGGUGGGGUAAAGGCCUACCAAGCCGACGAUCCUUAGCUGGUCUGAGAGGAUGAUCAGCCACACUGGGACUGAGACACGGCCCAGACUCCUACGGGAGGCAGCAGUGGGGAAUAUUGGACAAUGGGCGCAAGCCUGAUCCAGCAAUGCCGCGUGAGUGAUGAAGGCCUUCGGGUCGUAAAGCUCUUUUACCCGGGAUGAUAAUGACAGUACCGGGAGAAUAAGCUCCGGCUAACUCCGUG
rnacentral:rRNA from 1 species